GAUGAACGCUGGCGGCGUGCUUAACACAUGCAAGUCGAACGGAAAGGCCAGUGCUUGCACUGGUGCUCGAGUGGCGAACGGGUGAGUAACACGUGGGUGAUCUGCCCUGCACUUUGGGAUAAGCCUGGGAAACUGGGUCUAAUACCAGAUAGGACCAUGCUUUGGAUGGUGUGGUGGAAAGUUUUUUCGGUGUGGGAUGAGCUUGCGGCCUAUCAGCUUGUUGGUGGGGUAAUGGCCUACCAAGGCGUCGACGGGUAGCCGGCCUGAGAGGGUGUACGGCCACAUUGGGACUGAGAUACGGCCCAGACUCCUACGGGAGGAAGCAGUGGGGAAUAUUGCACAAUGGGCGCAAGCCUGAUGCAGCGACGCCGCGUGGGGGAUGACGGCCUUCGGGUUGUAAACUCCUUUCGCAACUGACGAAGCUUUUUGUGACGGUAGGUUGAGAAGAAGCACCGGCUAACUACGUG
rnacentral:rRNA from 1 species